GCUGGGCGUGGUGGCACAUGCUUGUAAUCCCAGCAACUUGGGAGGCUGAGGCAGAAAGGAGAACUGCAAGUUCGAGGUCAGCCUCAG
rnacentral:sRNA from 1 species